rnacentral:rRNA from 1 species
AGAGUUUGAUCCUGGCUCAGGACGAACGCUGGCGGCGUGCUUAACACAUGCAAGUCGAACGGAAAGGCCCUUUGGGGUACUCGAGUGGCGAACGGGUGAGUAACACGUGGGUGAUCUGCCCUGCACUUCGGGAUAAGCCUGGGAAACUGGGUCUAAUACCGGAUAUGACCUUGGGAUGCAUGUCCUUUGGUGGAAAGCUUUUGCGGUGUGGGAUGGGCCCGCGGCCUAUCAGCUUGUUGGUGAGGUUAAGGCCUACCAAGGCGACGACGGGUAGCCGGCCUGAGAGGGUGACCGGCCACACUGGGACUGAGAUACGGCCCAGACUCCUACGGGAGGCAGCAGUGGGGAAUAUUGCACAAUGGGCGCAAGCCUGAUGCAGCGACGCCGCGUGCGGGACGACGGCCUUCGGGUUGUAAACCUCUUUCAGCACAGACGAAGCGCGAGUGACGGUAUGUGCAGAAGAAGGACCGGCCAACUACGUG